ACACUACUGAGGAGUCCAGUAAUAGGACGAAACGGCCGUUCAGUGC
rfam:Schistosoma margrebowiei strain Zambia genome assembly, scaffold: SMRZ_contig0001651